CGGGGGCGGGGCUUUGCGGACGCAACGCACGUCGAGGUGCUGCUGCCGGGAGCUGCGGAGGCUGCGGGUUUGAGCUUCCGAGGCUGCUGGGUUGGUCUGCGGCGGUUGCUUUGGCUGCGGCCGGCCCGCGGCUGGAGGUUGGAGAGAAAUCCAGGUACUCAGUUGACCGGUCCUUUCUGCUGCCAUGGGGGAGCUUUUCCGGAGUGAGGAGAUGACACUGGCCCAGCUUUUUCUACAGUCAGAAGCUGCUUAUUGUUGUGUCAGUGAAUUAGGAGAACUCGGAAAGGUUCAGUUUCGUGACUUAAAUCCAGAUGUGAACGUUUUCCAGCGGAAAUUUGUGAAUGAAGUUAGAAGAUGUGAAGAAAUGGAUCGAAAGCUUCGAUUUGUUGAGAAAGAGAUAAGGAAAGCCAAUAUCCCAAUUAUGGACACUGGCGAAAACCCAGAGGUGCCCUUCCCCCGGGACAUGAUUGACUUAGAGGCCAAUUUUGAGAAGAUUGAAAAUGAACUGAAGGAAAUCAACACAAACCAGGAAGCUCUGAAGAGAAAUUUCCUGGAACUGACUGAAUUAAAAUUUAUACUUCGCAAAACUCAGCAGUUUUUCGAUGAGGUCAGACUAUAGUUUCUUUUAAUAUUUGAGCGGCUGAUAUUACACCAGCACAAGUGGGCCAUAUUUUUAUUCCAAUAAUUAUUUUAAUUUGCUAGUUUGAAAGCAAUACCAUUUCUGCACCCUGUUUUAGUUGAAGAAAUGUCAGAUUAUGUUCCAUUUUUCAUGCAGUACACAGCCAGCCAUGGUUUUGUAUAAUUUUGCAUUUUCAGCAAUUUUUCAUCUCAAGAUGGGGAAAGGAACCCUAAAGUAGUUGUGUAAACAUAGUUAGAUGAAAUUUUUACAUUUUAAGGUAAGUAUAUGCUUAAAGUUGAAGCAACAGGAAACAGUUAGUUAUACAUGAAAUUAUAACAAAGGUUUAAUGUCCAAACCUUUUGUCGUUAAAUUUUAAUUUUUAUCCUCUAUGUUUGCUUGUCAACUUUGAGCACAUUUUUAAGUACUCCAGAUUGCACACCACACUUAAUUUUUCAAGAGCUUUUCUUUAUGUUGUUUGGAAAAUUGGUAGGAUGCCUGUUUGAAAUUCCUGGAUUUUCAUAUAAACUCAACUUUAUUACCUUGUAGGGAAAAAAAUGUUAAUAAGUUCCUGGAUUAAAAAUGUAGGUGACUAAGUUGCCAGGUGACAGCUUGCUGAGGUGAUCCCAUGGAAAGGAUGGGAAUAAGGCUUUCAGAAGGCUUCCUUCUCCUAAUUAAACCUGGGGAGGAGUCGUAGCUUUCAGCCUGGACGUGCUUUUUCUGAUGGCCUAGAAUAUGGGUAACUCUCUUUUCAAUAGGUGUCUUUGCCACCAGAUUAACAACAUCAGACAUUUCAGAGAGUGUCCCAGUCACUCUUCAGUGUACCUUCCCAUAAAUUCUUUAUUUCCUUUGCUCAACAACAAUAAAAAUUAGCAAAGCUUUUGAAAACAGAAGGCCCAUUUUACUUAGCGUCUUAUAUGUCCUCAGUUUUACUUUUAAUUUCUGUCUUUAGAGGAAAGAAUAACUCUCACUAGUUCUCUAGCCUGGAGCGGGAGGUUGCCAACUAGCAACAUCAGCCUCACCUGGGAACUUGUCAGAAUGCAAAUUUUCGGUCCUCACACGAGACUUUUUCAAUCAGAAACGAACUCUGAGGGUGGUGCCCAGCCCAGCAAUCUGUUUUCACAGGGUGAUUCUGAAGCGUGCUAGUGUGAGAACCGCGGGGCUAGAGGAAGUCAGCUGAAGAUGCGAUACAUUCCUUAGUAACUAAGGAUUUGACUCAGAGAAGCCAUGCUAGUUCAAAGGAUCUGUUGGAGCCAGGGAAAGGAGAAAAGCUCAUAGGAAUUUAAUCGCCCAGUCUUCCUGAGAAUCAGGAUCUGGCUACGUACCAGGAGAGGGUUGGUGUGAAUAUUCAGUUUGCUCACUGAGUUGAGAAUUUUGAGACUGAUGGUGACUUCUUUCACCAGUCCCCGAUAUCACAUUAAAGGGCGUGGGACAGCGUGAUUAACUCUUUCCAGGUGUUUCAGGUCUUUUGCAACAGGCACGGCCACUUCUGCCCAAUGGUUUUGAUGAACAAAUAAUCUGGAAUUCCAGUGUACUCACUGUGACAACCUCAUUGUGUUUAUACUCAUUAAUUCACAGAGCAUUUGAAGAGCACCUACUGUUUGUAAAGCAUAAGAUGGGUAAGACAUGGUCCCUGUGUUCAAGGAAUAUGUCACUUACUCAUAUCAGGAAACAUCCCUGAACACAGUGCCUGCCUAUGCUGCCCACAGAUCCAAAGUAAAUCUGGCUUCAGGGUCAAAGCUUAGUUACUUUUAUUAUUAUUUGGGACUUAAUUCUUUUACCCUCUCCCCUCUUUCUUUCCCUUUUGAUAUAGCCUUUAGUUUACUGCUGGGAUGUUGCUGAGAUGUAUGAAAAUGUUUUUCAUAACCUCCUGAGUUUAAGGAUUGGGAUAGGCUUCCUAGUCUAGUUCAUUCUGGUAGAGAUUCUGAAUAAAGACUGACACAUGGACUCCCUUAAUGGAAAUAGUUUUUUAAACUGUUCAUUUUAUAAUUAAAAAAAUAGUAGAAACAAAAUAAGAGGAUAUGUAAAAUAGAUAACUAAUAAGGACCUACUGUAAAGCACAGGGAACUCUUCUCAGUACUCUGUAAUGACCUAUAUGGGAAAAGAAUCUUAAAAAGAGUGGAUAUAUGUAUGUGUAUAACUGAUAACACUUUGCUGUACGGCAGAAACUAACACAACAUUGUAAAUCAACUAUACUCCAAUAAAAAUUUUUUUUAAAAAUAAGAGGAACCACUUGGAAAGAUGAUAUAAGAUUUAAAAAUUGUCGCUAUGGGUUUAGGAAUUUUCUUUGUGAUUAAUAGGUCUAAACAUGAAAUACUCAUCCUGAGAAGGCAGACAUGACCUUCAUGCCCUAUCCAUUUUGCAUUGUUUUCCCCCUCCUACUCGUGCAAAACAUUUGUUUUGAACCUCUGGAAGUACUUUUGAUCACGAGGCCUUGGCUGUGAGCGGUUCUUCUGUUGCUUCUGUCAUCAGUCCCUGUCACUCCCUUGUGAGGAGUCUUCUGGCAAGCACCACUCCUCCUUUUCUCUACUAGUGCCCAGUCAGCGUCUUGCCCGCUUUUACCAUUAGCUCUUAGUCUCAGCCAGGUCCCCUUCACUAGCCCCUGCCCUGCUGUGGCCAUACAGCAGUCUCAAUUGUCACUGCCAUGAUAGGAGACAAGGCCUCACAGAGUUAAGCACGUCUGCACACGCGAGUGCACGCUUUACUGAAUGCAAGAGACAAGGAAACUUGGGACCCUCAAAUCUCAGAGAUGUAGAAUUUCAUGAGACUUUCUUCCAUGCCUGAGAUUAUAAUGUUUG